AUGGGUCUCCAUCUCUCUGCUGCAUCCCAGAGCUCAGUGGAAAGCAUCUUUCUGUCCACCCUUGGAGAACUGAGCCAUGAUAAAACCUGCAAAACCAGUGAAUGUGCUUACACAGCAGGUGUGGGCAACACAGACCUGGGCGCAGCUCAUCAGGAAACAGAAAAUAAAACCCAAGAAGUGUCUGUUACCAAACCAAAAGGAUGACAUCAGUAAGACCAGACCCUGAAAAAACAGAGGCACUUCUAUAAGGUGCCCACAACAUCCUUUAGAUCAUUACGCCAAGGCUAACACUGAACAGUGAUUUAAAUAAAUAAAUUCUGGAGAAGAAAAUGC